AUGGCCUUCGGCUAGUGCUGAAGUGGGCCACAAAAGAAUGUUCGAACUGCUCGAAGGAGUCGAUGCUUCCGAUUGAAGCCUGAAAUAUCAGGCCCGAGCAGCUUUCCAAAGAGUUAUCGGAAAGCUGAUGCAUAAGAGGGCAUCGGUUGCCCCUGGAUCAUCAUGAGGCUUUAUAGCUCUCCAGGUGGUCGUUUGAAUCGGUGGAGCCGUCAUAUGACUUCACUUGUGGCAUCUUGAAUCGAGAUG
rnacentral:lncRNA from 1 species